AAAGGAAGUUGUACAGUACUGCUGAGUGGAAAGCACCUACUGUAGAACAUCUCUGUUAUGUUUGAUCCCCCUGUCAUCUCCGUCCCAGAAGUUAUCGCAGUUUAGAAGUCAACACCCCAGGAAAGACUGUGAAAAGCAGCAAUAUUCUAAUGUGAAGCAUCCAACAUUAUUUCAAGAAGUGAGUCUUCCCAGCCUGGCUCCAGAGCUGCUGUGCAGAUUAAGUAACUUGCUUCAUGCAAAGCUUUGAAGAUACAAAGUGUGUGUUUCUAAAUAUGAUUUACCCUGAAUUCUCUAUGGUUUCUUCACAUCCUUAUUUGAAUGAUUGCUGCAGUCUGAUGCAACAGAGGAGAUACCUACUGAGCUGUGAUGUGGAGGUUGAGCCCCCUUUAUUUUACCCAGCCCUUGCUCACUAAAUGUCCUAGAUAUCCUGGCACAUGAAACCAGACACUCAAACGUUCUGGGGGUUCAGGCAGUGCUCUUGCUUUGGUCUCCCUGGCCUUAGGUUUUCUCAAGUAAGUGUUCCCUCCCUUAGUAAUUCAAUCUGCCACUCAUGAAUGAAGUGGUCAAACUCUUAUUUAAUAUGACAGUAGCAUCCAAAGAAUCCAGUCAGGACCAGGACUCCAAGGUGCUAGGGGUUAUACAAAUGCAUAAGAAAAUAUGGGCUCUGCCCUGAAGAAUUCACAUGGUAAUAAAAUCUAUAGCACCACAUUUUGCAUAUGCACAUACACUGUAGUGUGUGUAUGUACACAAUUGGAUAUGUGGCAUACUAAUUCUUGGUGGCCAAUAACACCCCCUUCCCCAACUUUAGUUGCAUGUAUGAGUGAAAGAAGCCAGCACUUUCUGUAGUCAAGAUUAAGGAAACCGGUGUUAAGUGCUUCUGUGUAUGUAUUUCCACUUCUAGGUUCUUUUGAUUAGUUUUAAAUUUCACAUCUGAACCAGGCUCAACUGAUUUCAUGGAGAAGGGGAGCAAUCAAAAUCUUACAUUAAAAGAAGAGAGAUUCUUUUGAACUGAAGGAGAGUUGAGAGAGGGAGUGGGGUGAAUUCUAAGCAUAUUGGUCUUUUUAUCCAUGAGUGUCAAGAAUACACUAACUAG